AUCGGCCCUCGGAGAGAAAAAAACAACGCGUGAUCACCUCUAAUCCUUUGGAAAAUGUCCCGAACAGCAAGUGGAUGGGAAAGAAGCCUCUACAACACAAACCUCAUUGACUUAAUGGGUCGGUUUUGGAUUUCGCCUUCGAAAUGUUCGGCGAGCGGCAGCGUUGUGUUUCUGCCCCGCCGGCUCCCAGCCUCCAGCCCCGGUUCUCAUCCCGACGAGAAGCGGCUCCCAAAACCCCGCUCCUGGUUUUAUUUUGUUGAGCUAUUUGUUUCCUCCAGACCCUCACACUUAAGGAAAAAAAAGAUUAAAUUUUACUUUUGAUUGGGGAAGAGCUUUAUUUCUAAGCUCGGGAGGAGAUGGGAGAUGUAUUUGGUUUACUUUUUUUUUUCUGCUUUGUUUUGAUUUUCUGGCGAAAUCGAGGAAAAACCCGCAGCGCGUUGCGUGGGCUCCAUCUUCAUCCCUGCCCUGCGUUUUACAAAUACAUCAAAUAAAUAAGGGAAUAAAUGAAUUUCCCGCACAAACAGAACCGAUGGGUGUCCGGGCAAUGAGGGCGAGCAGCGGAGGCCCCCUCGUUCGGUCGCCACCUCUCCGCGGGUGCGGAGGGGCCAGGCCCCGGCGGCGGGGGCAGCUCCGGGGAGCUCCGGCCGGGCGGGGAGCGGGUGAUGCUGCCGGGGUGAUGCUGCCGGGGUGAUGCUGCCGGGGUGAUGCUGCCGGGCUGCUCCUGCUCCUGCGGCAAAGGAAGGACCGAGAGGGGCCGGCGGCAGCUCCGCGCUGUUGUGGCGUUCGGUGGUUUUUCGCUUGUUCACAUCUGCCUUGUUUAUGUUUUUAUUUUUUGAGGGGCUCGAAACUAUCUUUUUGUUGUUGUUGUUGUUGCUUUUGUGAUUUUUCAAGGACUAAAUGUGAUGGGAUGUUCUGGAAAUACAUUUGUCUCUUUUCCUGGUUCAAAAUGAAAGGUUCCCAAUUUUUAGGAAAGCCAACCCAGGAGAUUGAACGAACAUUGAUGCUCAGCGGUUCUUGCCUGCAGCAACUCCCAGGUAGACCCCGGCGGGUCUGUCCCCUCCUUUUGUGAAUUUUGAUGAGACGGAAGAAUAAAGUCCCGCUCAAGAAUGGCGAGGAAGCCUCCGCUCAGCCCUCGCCCGUGUCUGUCAGCUCUUCCGCCGGCCGCAUCGGGAUCAUUUUCUUAUUCCCAGCAAGAUCGGUGUUUGUUUUCGUCGGCCUUUUACAGGAGGAAAAAAAAUAAAAAAGAACAAAAAAAA